rnacentral:lncRNA from 1 species
UUAUCAUAGAUGGGUGUUGUACGAAGGAUAAAAGGCUGGGAUGAGGAACUCAGAUGGGAAACAGAACAUGUGAAAGGUAAAGGUUCAAAACCCAUGAUUUACAGAAUGAGUAUUACAGGUGCAGUAUGCCAACUAUCGAUGGAAAGGUAUUUCAGCAAGAAAAGAGAUGCAAUAAAGACAUUACCAAGCAGAUAAUACAAGAAAUACAAUAUAUAGGUCAUAGGCAGAUUAGUUUAAGGAAAGAGCUGCAAAAGCUAAACUUUUACCCUUAGAAAUGUUGUUAGGGAGGAUGAAC